AUGUUAAUGUGUCUUGGCUUUUUGUUUGUUUCCAUUUCCUUGGUGUUCUCCAUCCUCGCAGAGGAAGCUGGUCUUCCUGUGUCUCCCAGGCUCACAGCACACUCUUCCACCAGGCCGAUCACACCGGAAAUCCGAGCUUUUUGUUUGGAAAGCCACGCGGCCAGGAGUUGCUCGUGGACAUGGAUCCCCUCCUCCACUCUCACGUGGGGCUCCUGCACCGAGGCCCCCGGGCCUGGAUGGCCUGCAGACCCCAGCCCUUCCUCAAUGAGCCUGCUCAAGGGCCACGUGGCCUUGACACGCCCACCCCAGGGCCACCUUCUCAUGCACCCCCUCCUGCCGUCCCGCACACUUGUCUGCAAUCGGCGGGGAGGAACAGCGCUUUUCCCCCAAGUCCACCUCAGAGCUGAGGUCCUACUGGCCUCCGAGCUGAUGCCCGGGAAAUCCUGUAGGACAGACGGUCAGGCGCUUAGGAUGGCAGGGGGGUGAGCCACAAGGGGAAGCAGCUUAGGGUCAGGACAGAUACUGUCAGGGCGGGGAAGGGAAUUUUGGGGGGAAGUCUGAACAGAUUCAUUUGACCCAUCUACUAGGCUAAUUUAUAGAAAAUGCACAAGAAGGGGGAAAAUUCCCUUUGAGCAAUGAGCGAGGUGAAAGAGAAGCAGGGGGUGUCCCUCAUCUCAUUACCAAAGAGGAAACCGAGAUGACUUCUUGAGUCGUUUAUUGAAAAACACCAUGAGGGCUCAGUGUAGGCAGGUUGGAAAGAGGCCCAUUUGCCUUCUCAGUGGAGACGUGGCUUAGGACUUUUUGAAGAAUAUUGCCUGUUCAAUUAGAAGAAUAUGAUAAGAGUCACCCAGUGGAGGUUGGAGAAUUCAUCUCCAUUCUCGAAACCUGGGUAGUGCCUUCCUAGGCAGCAAAUUUUAUGUCGCAUUCCAGCAUUCCUAGAACAUUUACUGCCGGAAGUUUCAACAAAACGUGCUUACUAAGCUUCAGGGUUUUUAGGAAUCCCAUCUGGGUCUACUUGUUUAUCCCUACGUGGAGACUGUUGGCGUAUCCGCCUAAAACACCUCACUGGAAGCCUGGUUCUAGAGUCUCUGCCCAGCUGGGGGGUCCAGGAAAGGCUCAGUGGUGCAGCUUCAUAGCCUGGGAAGACUGUGCCCUGAGACAAGCUAGAUGCGAGCAAAGACGGAUGCUGAGACGGUGAAAGGGCGGCACAUGGAGACCCCAGGGAAGGACAAGAAGAGGAGCGGUGCAGAGCUCAAAGAAGACACAGGAAUUCCCCGGUGGCCCAGUGGUUAGCGGCUGGCGCUGCUCUGGGCCCAGACUCGACCCCUGGUCAGGGAGCUAACAUCCUUCGAGUCACGUGGUACUGCCAAAAAAAUAAAAAAUAAAAGAAAAAAAUCAUUAUAAUGGGCAGUGGACAGAAAAGUGACGUCUCUGUUUUCCUCUGAGCCUACUAGACCCACCGCUACUGCUAACAGAUGAGGGCAGAGAGCUUUCUGUGGAAUCCACUCUUGAAAAGGAGAGAACCCUUAGGAAUCUUUCUACCAGACCUCCGUGUCUUCCAUUUUCAGGCUGACUCCAGCCAAGUGGAGAAAACUCACAUCUGGACAAAGGAAAUGUAUCUCCUCAAAUCGAAAAGCCUUAUGUCAAGAGAAUCCUUACUAUAGAGAAAGCUAUGGAGCCAAACACUGAAUUUGAUUCCAACCAAAAACUAGAUAAAAGGUUAGAAAUCAAUCUUAUUCACGCCAUCUCCUUCCUUCCUCACUGCUAACCCUCGGCCAGGCCCCUCUAAUAAUAANNNNNNNNNNNNNNNUGCCCGAAAGGAAAAUCAGAGAUUCCAUCAAGAAAAAGGCUUUUAAAGGAAGCCUGUGAUAUUGCAAUAUUAUUUGGACUCUCCCUGUAAAUAAUGAAUGAUUCCAAUUUCUCUUAGUAUGGGUUGAGGGUGGCAGAAUUAAAUCUAGCUGGGUUAGAAAUAAGUCAGAGUCCCCUAAUGUCAGCCAACGUUUAUGAUAGACGUGAGCUCGAUUUUUUUUCUCAUAAUUGUUAAAUGACGUCUCUUUUUCAAAGAGACAGAGCUGUUAUAAAUAAGCAAAUCACAGCUGUAUUCAGCUCAUGACAUCCUGGUUCUGUGCAAGCCCGUUUGGCUGGCAGUCGCAGAACUCCGAUCAGGGUGGCCGUGUGAGAGAGUGGAAGCGUGAGAUGCUUUAUGUCAGAGUUCUGGGUUUGAGUCCUGGUUCCGCCAUCAGGCGACCGGAUGUCUUUGGAAAAGUAACCUCUUCGUGAUCGUCAGUCUGGUAGAGGUGACGAGCGUCACGACUUAUCUGUGCGUCGUUUGGAGGAUCAAACCCAGUUGACGGACGUGGAGGAAUUCUACCCGCUGCAGGGUGCCCCACGAAUAUUCCUUUUCCUUUAGAACACCUUAUUUGUUAUUAUUCUUUAUUUUUGGCUGUGCUGGUCUUGGCUGCCGUGCGAGCGUUCCCUGACUGCUGACUGGGGGCUACUCUCCAGUUGCCCGCGGGCUUCUCGUGGUGGCCGCGCUUGCAGCCGAGCUCGGGCUCCAGGGUGCCGGGGGCUCAGUUUCUCCGAGGCAUGUGGGGUCUCCCCAGACCAGGGAUUGAACCCGUUUCCCCUGCAGAGGCAGGUGGAUUCUUAACCACCACGGGAGCACCAGGGAAGCCCACAUUCACUUUUAACAGGGAUUUUCUAUUAAUGGGAAAGAGCCAUGGUUUCAUCCGCAAUAUACAUUUGCUCUUAAUAACUCGUUAAGUGCCCCCCUGCAUUCCAGCCAGCAAGCCAUAGACAGAGACCAGGGGAUUCCACUGUCACUUCCCAGCAUCACAUCGCAGUGAUGGGAGCUUUAUUCCUUAUCCAACAUCACAUGAUAAUUUUUGGCCUUUAAAAAUAAAGAGAAAAAAGCCUAAGACCCAGAAAGAUUAAGAAUUAAGUUAAUUUUUAAAGUAACAAAUCUUUCUGUAUAUACUUGUCUCCUUCAUAUGGUGCCGGUAAUUUUUAAAAUUAGAUUUUCCUCUGGGCGUUUCAUACUAAAAAUGAUGAANNNNNNNNNNNNNNNNNNNNNNNNNNNNNNNNNNNNNNNNNNNNNNNNNNNNNNNNNNNNNNNNNNNNNNNNNNNNNNNNNNNNNNNNNNNNNNNNNNNAGAUUUUCCUCUGGGCGUUUCAUACUAAAAAUGAUGAAGUUCCUUGUCCCUUGUAAUUGCAUUUCUUUUGAUUUUCUUUUAUUAUGACUUGCAUAUCACUGACACUUUCCCCCUGGAAUGUUAAAAGUAUACAUCAUCCAGCUAAGAGGAAAAAAUACUGUCUUCAUAAAAAUGGAAAAGAGAAAGUAGAGGCUCCUCUCGGUUCCAAACAAGGCAAAGUUCUUGCUCUUCGCACGUGCCAAGGCUGAUGUCAUGGAACCAAACCAGUUUUGAGUUAUCUGCAAUGAAAAAAAAAAAAG
rnacentral:lncRNA from 1 species